rnacentral:rRNA from 1 species
CAGUAGCCACGGGAAUACGUAGGUGGCAAGCGUUGUCCGGAAUUAUUGGGCGUAAAGGGCUCGCAGGCGGUUUCUUAAGUCUGAUGUGAAAGCCCCCGGCUCAACCGGGGAGGGUCAUUGGAAACUGGGAAACUUGAGUGCAGAAGAGGAGAGUGGAAUUCCACGUGUAGCGGUGAAAUGCGUAGAGAUGUGGUGGAACACCAGUGGCGAAGGUGACUCUCUGGUCUGUAACUGACGCUGAGGAGCGAAAGCGUGGGGAGCGAACAGGAUUAGAUACCCCUGUAGUCCCUGUUUCUUUACA